GAUGAACGCUGGCGGCGUGCUUAACACAUGCAAGUCGAACGGAAAGGCCCCAGCUUGCUGGGGUACUCGAGUGGCGAACGGGUGAGUAACACGUGGGUGAUCUGCCCUGCACUUUGGGAUAAGCUUGGGAAACUGGGUGUAAUACCGAAUAUGACCACUUCUUGGAUGUUGGGGUGGAAAGCUUUUGCGGUGUGGGAUGAGCCUGCGGCCUAUCGGCUUGUGGGUGGGGUAAUGGCCUACCAAGGCGACGACGGGUAUCCGGUCUACGUGGGGUUACGGACACAUUGGGAAGGGGAUACGGCCAAGACUCCUACGGGAGGGAGCAGGGGGGAAUAUUGCACAAUGAGCGCAAGCCUGAUGCAGCGACGCCGCGUAUGGGAUGACGGCCUUCGGGUUGUAAACUCCUUUCGCUAUCGACGCAGCCACUUGUGGUGACGGUAGGUAGAUAAGAAGCACCGGCUAACUCCGUGCCAGCCGCCGCCGUAA
rnacentral:rRNA from 1 species